rfam:Camelus ferus unplaced genomic scaffold scaffold419, whole genome shotgun sequence.
GAGGGUAUAGCUCAGUAGUAGAGUACCUGCUUAGCAUGCAGGAGGAUGCAUGAGGUCCUGGGUUCAAUCCCCAGUACCUCCA